GUCAAGCACCGCACCGACUGAUCACCUGUGGCUCAACGGUACUUGAUGGGGCAACUACAUAAAGACAGCUGCCUAUUGAGCAGGAAGCUGCAGAACCGGAACGGAGAAGAAUCUCCGACGGGGCUGUGGUUGGGUUUCUAUUGCCAAAAUGUAGCGGC
rnacentral:ncRNA from 1 species